rnacentral:rRNA from 1 species
GACGUAGGGCGCGAGCGUUGUCCGGAUUUAUUGGGCGUAAAGAGCUCGUAGGCGGCUUGUUGCGUCGACCGUGAAAAACCCGGGGCUCAACUUCGGGCUUGCGGUCGAUACGGGCGGGCUAGAGUUCGGUAGGGGAGACUGGAAUUCCUGGUGUAGCGGUGAAAUGCGCAGAUAUCAGGGGGGAACACCGGUGGCGAAGGCGGGUCUCUGGGCCGAUACUGACGCUGAGGAGCGAAAGCGUGGGGAGCGAACAGG